CUGUGCUGUGCCGCACAGUUAGGCAGCAGCAGCCACGGAGCAGUAGCCGCCGUGGGAGAGAGCCCUGAAGCACUAAGAGGUGGAGAUCCUGGACGCAAAGACAAGGGAGAAGCUGUGUUUCCUGGACAAGGUGGAGCCCCACACCACCACUGCAGAGAUCAAGAACCUCUUUGCCAAGACCCCUCUGCAGUGGUACUCUGCCCACCAGUCCCUCCACCUGGAUCCCAAGGGCAAGUCCCUGAAGGAUGAGGAUGUUCUGCAGAAGCUGCCCAUGGGCACCACGGCCACACGCUACUUCCAGGACGUGGGGGCCCAGAUCAGCUGGGUGACGCUCUUCCUAACAGAGUACGGGGGGCCUCUUUUCAUCUAUCUGCUCUUCUACUUCCGAGUGCCCUUCAUCUAUGGCAACAAAUAUGACUUCACAUCCAGUCGGCACAUGGUGGUGCACCUCAGCUGCAUCUGUCACUCAUUGCACUACGUCAAGUACCUGCUGGAGACGCUGUUCGUGCACUGCUUCUCCCAUGGUACGGUGCCUUUGUGCAACAUCUUCAAGAACUGCACCUACUCCCGGGGCUUCACCGGGUGGAUGGCCUAUUACAUCAAUCACCCUCUCUACACACCCCCUACUUAUGGAGCUCAGCAGGUGAAACUGGCACUCGACAUCUUUGUGAUCUGCCUGUGCUUGGCAACUUUUCCAUCCACAUGGCCCUGCAGGACCUGUGGCCUGCUGGGUCCAAGACCCGGAAGAUCCCGUACCUCACCAAGAACCCUUUCACGUGGCUCUUCCUACUGGUGUCCUGCCCCAACUACACCUACCAGGUGGGGUCCUGGAUCGGUUUUGCCAUCAUGACACAGUGUCUCCCAGUGGCCCUGUUCUCCCUGGUGGGCUUCACCCAGAUGACAAUCUAGGCCAAGGGCAAGCACUGCAGCUACCUAAAGGAGUUCCGGGACUACCUGCCCCUGCGCAUGCCCAUCAUCCCCUUCCUGCUCUGAGCGCUCACCCCUGCUGGGGCUCAGCCCCUCACCCUGGUGGCAUUCUGGGGGAGGAGUGGGGCCCACAGCUCUCCAGCACCUGGAAUAAAGCCCGCCUGCCCCAGU